GAGUUUGAUCAUGGCUCAGAUUGAACGCUGGCGGCAGGCCUUACACAUGCAAGUCGAGCGGAAACGCGGAGUGUUUACGCUUUGGCGUCGAGCGGCGGACGGGUGAGUAAAGCCUAGGAAGUUGCCCAGUAGUUUGGGAUACCUAUUGGAAACGAUGGUUAAUACCGGAUACCUUUGCCUGUAAGGGUAAAGAAAGGGGGGGACCUUAUGGCCUCUUGCUACUGGAUACGCCUAGGUGAGAUUAGCUAGUUGGUGGGGUAAUGGCUCACCAAGGCGACGAUCUCUAGCUGGUCUGAGAGGAUGAUCAGCCACACUGGGACUGAGACACGGCCCAGACUCCUACGGGAGGCAGCAGUGGGGAAUAUUGCACAAUGGGCGAAAGCCUGAUGCAGCCAUGCCGCGUGUGUGAAGAAGGCCUUCGGGUUGUAAAGCACUUUCAUUGGCGAGGAAGGAUUUAUGGUUAAUACCUAUAGAUUUUGACGUUAACCAAAGAAGAAGCACCGGCUAACUCCGUGCCAGCAGCCGCGGUAAUACGGAGGGUGCGAGCGUUAAUCGGAAUUACUGGGCGUAAAGCGCAUGCAGGUGGAUAGAUAAGUCAGAUGUGAAAGCCCGGGGCUUAACUCCGGAAAGUCAUUUGAAACUGUUUAUCUAGAGUACUGUAGAGGGGGGUAGAAUUUCAGGUGUAGCGGUGAAAUGCGUAGAGAUCUGAAGGAAUACCGGUGGCGAAGGCGGCCCUCUGGACAGAUACUGACACUCAGAUGCGAAAGCGUGGGUAGCAAACAGGAUUAGAUACCCUGGUAGUCCACGCCGUAAACGAUGUCUACUUGGAGGAUGUGGCCAUGAGCUGUGUCUUCCGGAGCUAACGCGUUAAGUAGACCGCCUGGGGAGUACGGUCGCAAGAUUAAAACUCAAAUGAAUUGACGGGGGCCCGCACAAGCGGUGGAGCAUGUGGUUUAAUUCGAUGCAACGCGAAGAACCUUACCUACACUUGACAUCCUCAGGAGAAUUUAGAGAUAGAUUUGUGCCUUCGGGAACUGAGAGACAGGUGCUGCAUGGCUGUCGUCAGCUCGUGUUGUGAAAUGUUGGGUUAAGUCCCGCAACGAGCGCAACCCUUAUCCUUAAUUGCCAGCACUUCGGGUGGGGACUUUAGGGAGACUGCCGGUGAUAUACCGGAGGAAGGUGGGGACGGCGUCAAGUCAUCAUGGCCCUUACGUGUAGGGCUACACACGUGCUACAAUGGGGCAUACAGAGGGAGGCGAGCCUGCGAGGGUAAGCAGAACUCAGAAAGUGUUUCGUAGUCCGGAUUGGAGUCUGCAACUCGACUCCAUGAAGUCGGAAUCGCUAGUAAUCGCGGAUCAGAAUGCCGCGGUGAAUACGUUCCCGGGCCUUGUACACACCGCCCGUCAUACCAUGGGAGUGGGCUGCAAAAGAAGUAGGUAGUUUAACCUUCGGGGGGACGCUUACCACUUUGUGGUUCAUGACUGGGGUGAAGUCGUAACAAGGUAACC
rnacentral:rRNA from 1 species